rnacentral:lncRNA from 1 species
UUUUUUUUUCCUUUCUACAGGGUUGGUGGAUCUGGUCUUGACUUGAGGAGCAAAGCAAGGGUCAGUCCUGUCUCCCUGUUUGGUUUCAUAUUUGAGUGAGCUCUGUCGUUUUUGUUUAAUUAAUCCUGUUUUUUUUUAAAUUUGAAACAGACACUUACCGGACCAAUCAAGGACCCGUCGGAGCUGCCGAAAUGGAACUACGACGGCAGCUCAACCAACCAAGCUGCCGGAGACGACAGCGAAGUCAUCAUCUAGUACGUCGUUUUCCGAUCAGAGACCACUUUGAAUCUUGUUGUUUUUUGUAGCGUUUCCUUGUGUGUGACUAUUUUGUACGGUCGUCUGGGCCAGCGCUCAUGCGAUCUUCGAGUGCGCAUUCAGGAGAGGAAACAACAUCCUGGUAAUUCACGAUACCCUCCUUUUUCGGACUUGUCGUACAGAGUAUCUUAAUAUCCUCCCGAUUGUCUCUCUUCCUUUAAUUAAACACCAUCAACCUGAUUACGACACCUAAUCUUGUUGAUUUGCCAAAUUUAAAACUAUCCGACAAAACAAGGGUUUCAUUUUUUACAGGUUAUGUGCGAUGCUUAUACUCCCGCCGGCGAGCCAAUCCCGACCAACAAGAGAUCCGCUGCCGCCAAGAUUUUCAGCCACCCUGAUGUCGCCAAAGAGGUCCCAUGGUAAAUAUAACAGAAUAACUCGAAUACACAUGUUAAAGUCUGGGUCUUUUUGCGCAAACCAAACCGAGUUACAGAAAGUUUGAAGCAUUUGAGGUCGUCGGAUUUGUAUUUAUUUCCGUGCCCAUUGAUAAGCGUGGUAGCUCAGGAAUCUGGUGAUGUGGUGGGGCCACUGCUGCCGUGGAUGGUUGAAAUUGAUUGAUUGGGUAGGCUGUUUGGUGGGGUUUUGUUUUCGUGUAGCCGGAAAAAAAUGUCUAGGGUCAUAAUCAUGUCCAGAAAGCAAACAAAUUAGCUUCCAUGAUUGGAAAUUUUGUUGAAGAAUACAGAUAACACGUUAUACGUCGUCGUUUUUUCCGAGACUUUCGUCCCUUUGCCAUAAAUUCUUGGGAACUAGAGCGGGAGUAGGUGGGGCUUGACUGGACUUUGCGUAAGUCAAGAGUCGUUUCCAGUUAUUGUGUUUUCUUAAUACAGUUUACAAUUAUAAAAAUUAACUAGUCUUGAGUGUGUUGUUGUAUUUGACUUAUCGAAUCCAACAUACUUUACGAACUAACACCGUUAUAAUAUUUAUUUAUGGUCUAUUCCGCUAAGAAAAACAUAUAAUCCUUGUUGAGCAUGUGAUCAAUGAAUCUGUGGACAACUCAAAACCCAUUUAAGCAAAGAUCAUUUCUUUUCCUUGUUGUCUGUCUCCACUAUACCUACUUUUGCAUUUUUCUAUGUUGGAAAUGGAAUCCAUGGUCACCUACUUUGUCCUCGAAUGGAAUAUAUCAUUAAAUAAGUAGAUACUUUGGGAUUCUCGACAUUUCCAUGUGAAUGCAUUCAUCGUCAUUUCUUUGUGUCCAAGUUAGUUGGCUGAAUUGCAUUGUUGACUUAGUCUUCCGAGUUAAAAAGCAGUAGACGUUUUCCAGAACGAUUCUAAUUAUGGAGAUCUAGUGUUCUUUCUUACCUCUUGAGUAAUGUUUGACUUCUAUAAUCAUAUCUCUUCCGAAAGUUAAGUCGAGAUUAGUGGAACGGAGUUGAGUUGACUUUGAGAGGACUUGUGGAAGAAAAGUUGAAUGAAGGAAACAUAAAGGAUUCCUAGGAGUCCGCUUAGUUUGGGAAACGCAAUUCCACCCGUUCAACUUUUUUAGAAAACAUGAUUCUUGAUGUGAAACCUUACCUUGAUUGAUUUUCGUGUCCUAAACUAACAUGUUGGUGGGAAAUCUUCAGGUAUGGAAUCGAGCAGGAGUACACUCUUCUGCAGAAGGAAAUCAACUGGCCACUUGGGUGGCCAGUUGGUGGCUUCCCUGGUCCUCAGGUUUGUGCUUCACACCAUCUUUCAACUUCAUUCCAUAUACUUUUGUCUUGUCUCUCUUCAAGUCAGCUAACGUUUGUUGACUUGUUGUUUCAAAAAAAGGGUCCCUACUACUGCGGAGUAGGAGCUGACAAGGCGUUUGGGAGGGACAUCGUAGACGCGCACUACAAGGCAUGCUUGUACGCUGGUAUCAACAUCAGCGGUAUCAAUGGCGAGGUCAUGCCGGGACAGUGGGAGUUCCAGGUUGGUCCUUCCGUCGGAAUCUCUGCCGGUGACCAAGUCUGGGUUGCUCGUUACAUCCUUGAGGUAUAUGCAUCUCCGCAACUCGUUUGAUUGUUGACCAUCCCUUAAAUCAUAAAUCUUGAUGUUGUUGUGUCUGUCUUUCCUUGGAACAGAGGAUCACUGAGAUUGCUGGAGUUGUUGUCAGCUUCGACCCUAAGCCAAUCAAGGUUCUGUGUAUAACUUGUUAUUCUUUUGUUCUUGAUAAAUGUUUCGGGUCGAAAUGUGUAAAUGAUUGUUAAAAAUCUUGAGUCUUGCAGGGUGACUGGAACGGUGCUGGUGCUCACACCAACUACAGGUUUGUGUAUAAAGCCAACAUCUUUCAAACUUACCAAUAAAUUUAAACACAUGUGAUUAUUAACUCGGAUGUCCUGGCUCGAACCGACCAGCACCAAGUCGAUGAGGGAAGAGGGAGGGAUCGACGUGAUCAAGGCUGCGAUCGAGAAGUUGGGGAAGCGACACAAGGAGCACAUCUCCGCCUAUGGCGAGGGUAACGAGAGGAGAUUGACUGGUAACCACGAGACUGCUGACAUCCACACCUUCACCUCGGUACGGUCCAAAUUUGAUUUUGUAUCUAACCAAAGCCAAAAGCUUGAUGUGCAAACUGUUAAGAAUAUAGUAGUACAAUGAGAGUUACACUACGCUCAUAUGUCCUUGUUGUUGGAAUCUUGCAGGGGGUGGCCAACAGGGGAGCAUCGAUCCGUAUCGGGAGGGACACCGAGAAGGACGGAAAGGGUUACUUUGAGGACAGAAGGCCGGCCUCGAACAUGGAUCCGUACGUCGUGACAUCCAUGAUUGCCGAGACGACCAUUCUGUGGAAGCCUUGAACAAGGGAGAGAGAUUUAACCAGAGAAUGAUUUGAUUCAGGGGAAUUGCCAUUUAGCAUUUGAUAUUAUGAAGAAAAACAAAACAGUUGGUGUUAAUUUUCAGAUACUGGUCUGCAAUUCCCUGGUGUUGUGUUGUACCAUGGUUUGUGGUUGGGUUGUUACAGUUUGGUCGUUCUGUGUUGAAACGGUUGGAGUCUGGUUUGGCUGGUCAGGUUUUAGUUUUACUGUUAUGGUUUGGUUUGCUGCAGUUGGCUGCUGCUUGUUUAUUUACAAUAAAAUAAAACCCACAUAAUUGUUUUUACUUUAUUGCCCAAUUUUACACUUAUGGUUGUUUGAAAAUUUACCAUGUAGUAAUGGUGGAUUCAAAAUGGUUUAGUACAUUGAAGAUUAUGUAAUUUUGAAAUUUCAGACUUGUAAAAUUAAUAUUUAGUCAUUAUUUAUAGGGUUUGUCAUAUUAGUCGAUUUAAAUUUUUUAAUUUUUUUGUGUGAAAAUGUUAACAUUUUCUUAGAAGUACACGGAAAUUGAUCAAUUUUGACAUGAAAAUGAAAUUUUUUUAAAUUAAUUAAUAUUUGACAUGCAUGUUGAGAAUGGUUAAAAAUUGAGAUUUUAUCAUAUUAAACCUUUCAAGUAAUAGCCAAAUGAUAUUUUUAAUACCUUGAAGCGAAGCUCCAUGAUUGAUCUACUAUGUGUAAAGAAAUUCCAGUGCUUGUCGAACUUGAGCAUGACUCGUUAACUCUUGACGCAAAACUCUCGCUCAAAUCAAAUUUCGAUCAUUAAAACUAUUUGAUGGAGUCCAAUUUGUACUGAAUCUGAAGCUCGCACACUAAAAAAUACACGCAAGUCAAGCUAAAAAAUAAAUUAUCUUAAAAUUUAUGAAUAUUUACCUUUUUCUCUAAUAAAACUAUACAAUCUAUGACUUGCAUUUUCAUCAGUAUAAUUACAAAGUACAUAUAAUUUAUUUUAUUAUAUGUGAUACAUACAUGCAUUAUUGACUCCACUAACAAAUCACACAUUUAAAUUUGAGCCAGCUCGUUAGCUUAUCAAAUUGAAUAUACCCAAAUUCAACAUCCGCCCAUAUAAAAUCAAGCUAAAUUAAACACAAAUCUUUUUCAAACUUUCGAAUCGUUGGCAAGUCGCUUGGCUCGUCCGUUAGAAAAGCUAAACUACUCUCUGUUCCGCUGUGAAAUGGGCUAAAGGAAGCCCUGUAAUUUUAGUAAUAUUAGCAGCCUGGGAAUAACGUUCUUUAAGAUUUAAAAAUUCUCAGCCCAGUGUUAAGAAAACCAGGCAUCAGUGGAUCCAAAGCCAGGAACCGAACAUCCAGAACAGAACCAGUUGAAACCUACGAAGCAAGCGCCAUCAUCAGUCAAAGAAGAGGAAGAGGAGAGGGGACAAAAAAAACCAGCUCAUAUUUCAUUACCUCUGUAAUUGGGUCUGGUCUCCAUAUCUCUCGUCGUCCUCUGUUUCUACUGCCGAAUGACUCGACCAAUUCCCUCGCUCUUUCUCUAAUCCUUUUCUUCAAUGGAGAAGAGCAACUAACGGGUUUUCUCGAUUUCCCGGAUAAGGUUUGAAGAUUCUUUCUUUCCCCCCUUAUUCCCUCGUGCUUGAAAUCGGUUCAUAUGCUUGAAAAUUUGAAUCUUUAAGAUAUCCAAAACCUGUACAUUCUGCUGCUGCUUGAAUGCAAUCAGAUUUUAUAUCUCCGGAUAACAAAGUUUCUGUCUUUAUGUAGUUAUAUGAGCUGGUUUCUUUGUUCUUUGGCAGUGUAAAAUAAUAUAGAGACAUAUAGGAGUAGUAGGUAAGCUGCGAUGUACGCAAGGAUGAUCAAGAAUUGUAGUAAUCUCAAAUGGGGUUCGGUGUUUAUGCCAUCCAUCCAGCUGAUUAGGCCUAACACAUUGCAUCAGACCCGUGUUCGAUCUCGCUUCCAUAGAGCUAAUUUGGUUCGAGUCUCGAAUUCCCGUGGCAGCUCGAUAAAGACGUGUCGGUUUAAUUCAUUCAGCACUAGUACCUCAGGAUGUAGGUAUGUUAGUAGUCCAACCAGAAGGUUUCAGUUUCGUGCCUAUAGUUCGGAAGGCGAUGGACGUAGUAGUAGUAGUAGUAGCAGCAGCAGCAGUAGUAACACAAGUGAGGAUAAAUGUGAUCCUCUAAAUGGAAUCUCGAAAGUUGGUGAUGGGAAGGUAGGGAAUGGGAAAGUAGGAGGAGGUGAGUCGAGAUGCUGUAAUACGCACGCGUGUCUAGCGGAACAAGAUCAAAGGGAAUGGCUUGAUAAUGAGAAGCUGGCUAUAGAAGCUAAGAAGAAAGAGUCGCCCUUUCUAACUAGACGGGAGCGGUUUAGAAAUGACUUCUUGCGGAGAGUCGUUCCCUGGGAGAAAAUCCAGGUUUCGUGGGAAUCUUUCCCAUACCACAUCAAGUAAUUACCAAUUACCACUCCAUUGGCUUGUUGUUGUUACUUUGGCAUAAAGUAAUUAACUUUAUGAUAUCAUCCAGGGAAAAUACGAAAAACAUUUUGCUGGAAUGUGUGGCAUCCCACUUAAAGAGUAAGAAUUUUGCUACUUCGUAUGGCUCUCGCUUGACGUCUUCAAGUGGGAGAAUACUGCUUCAGAGCUCUCCAGGUUAUUCUCUUUGCCUUGUAAUCUUAUAUAUGAGUUCUCAGUCCUUGGAGAUACUGAUUACUUCACAAUGCCCUAUGUACAGGCACAGAACUUUACCGGGAAAGAGUAGUGAGAGCACUUGCGAGGAAGUUACAAGUUCCUCUGCUGGUUCUCGAUAGUAGCGCUCUUGCUCCUUAUGUAAGAUCGGCUCACUAAAAUCUUAUAAACUUUUAAUGUGUAGCGACGAAUAUAUUAUUGUUCUUGGUGUUUGAUUUUGGCUUUUUUUUAGCAGUAUCUUGAUGACUACACAUCCGAGGCCGAGUCAGAUACAGAAUCGGUGGAUGAGGGUACAUCAGAGUCCGAGGUUGAUGAAGAGAAUGAAGCAGCGAAUGCUGAAGACGGUAGUAGUGAGGAUGAAGUUGUUGAUUUGUCGGCAAUCGAUGAGGCUGCCAUCCGGAAGCUCAUUCCCUUCGAUAUCGAAGAGUUUGAAAAGGUUGUCGCUCUUGUUCUAGAACAAAUAGAGUUAUUCUUGAAGCGAAAUCUGGUGAAAUGGUCAUUGUAUCAAAUGUGCCUUAAUUGCUGUUUCUUGAAUUGCAUGGUGCAGCAAGUCUCUGGAGAAUCAGAAGCAUCAAAGUCUGACACUGCUGACCCUUCUGAUAACUCCAAAAGGCCUCUCAAGAAAGGUUACCUCUUUUAUGCUAACUUUAAUUCUUUCUCCAUUUUCUCUGGAAUUUUAUAUAUGUUGUGUGUUGCCCUUACUGAAAAGAACAAUCUUUUGCUAGGCGAUCGGGUGAAGUACAUUGGCAGUUCAAAUUCUGUUGAAGCUGAUAACAGGUAUCUUUUCUGUAAACUUCUAACAUUAAUGCCAAUAAUAAUAUUCUACCCGAAUCUUUCUACAAGCCCAUUAUAUAUUUCAGGCCCUUAUCCAAUGGUCAACGUGGCGAGGUAUACGAGAUCAAUGGAAAUCAAGCUGCUGUUGUUUGGGAAAUGGCUAAUGAUAGCCAAGCAAAAGAAGGAGACAUGCAUAAGGAACAUGAAGAGUCAUCUGGAAAAUCCCCCGUAUUUUGGAUAAAUGGUAAAACUUUUAUGCAUCAUAGUAGACUAUAUUUGCUUUCGAGCAGUAUGCAAUUCUGAAGUUCUAUAAAAUCUUAAAAAAUGUACUUAUGUACAGUUAAGGAGAUUGAGCACAAUCCUGAUGCCGAGGCCGAAGACUGUUGUAUCGCAAUGGAUGCGUUAUAUGAGGUAAAAUGGAUAUAAUUCACGGAAAGGUGUUUUAUUAUUAUUUUGGAUUCAAAAUCACAACUUUAUCUGAUAUUUGCAAUUCAAUUAUCGGUUUACAGAUCUUGCAAACCAAGCAGCCGCUCGUAGUAUAUUUCCCAGACUUUUUCGUUUGGUUGUCUAGGGCAGUGCCCAAGUCGAACCGUAAGGAGUUUGUCCACAAGCUGCUGGAAAUGCUUGACCAGCUUUGUGGUUCUGUUGUCUUGAUUUGUGGUCAUAAUAACAAAGUCCAAUCCGGGUCAAAGGAGAAGGAGACAUUCGUAAGAUUCUUAGAUGGUCAAUUGGAAUCUAUAUGUAAAUUUACUAUCCUCCACCAGAUGUCAUUCAUUUUCUUUUUGGCUUCUAAUUUGAUGCACAGACAAUGAUCCUUCCGAAUUUUGCUCGAGUGGAUAAGCUGGUAAGCCUAUUUUCUCUUCAAGUUCCAUAAUUGUGGUGCAUUACGAACUGUUUUAGUGUGAUCAUUUCUAUCUGUUGCAGCCUCUUCCUUUAAAGAAUCUUACUGAAGGUCUUAGAGGGACGAAAACAUCUACUUCCAUCGAAUUCCAUAAGCUCUUUCCGAAUGUCUUGCGCCUUGACCCUCCCAAGGUAAACUACAACCAGUGAUUUAUAUGUUUGUAGAAUCUGUUAGGGAUGGUUUUGUUUUCUCUAUCCGUCAUAUUUAAAUGAAAUUUUGGUGUUCGAAUACAACGAUAAAUUGUUUCUUUAUUUUUGUGCCUUUGUUACAGGAAGAAGAUCUCCUUAUAACAUUCAAUAAACAGAUUGAAGAGGAUAAGAAAAUAGUGAUAUCUAGGAGCAAUUUAUAUGAACUGCAUAAGGUAUGGAGUCAGUUUCUACCUUUUUCUUUUUGUUUGUUAUUAUUAUUGAUUAUAUUUUUGACUUCUUAUCACGCAAAUUAUAACUAGCAAGUUCAAGCACUGAAAGUUCGUAUUGGGAUUAAAAUUACAGGUUCUCGAUGAAAACAAGAUGUUUUGUGCAGACUUACUGGAUGUAGAUACUGAUGGUUUAGUUCUGACUAAGCAGAGUAAGAAGCUGGCUAUGGUCUUACUUUAAACAAUUUCUAUGAUAAAAUUCUUGUUUACAAUGUUACUCGGCCUACAUUUGGCAGAAGCGGAAAAAAUCGUCGGCUGGGCUAAGAACCAUCAUUUGUCCUCCUGUGUACACCCAUCAAUAGAAAAGGAGAGAUUGGUUUUGCCUCGUGAAAGGUUCGAUUGCUCUUAUUAUGGUAAAUUUUGCUUGUUUUACAUAGUCAAAGAGCCUCUCUUGGAACUUAUUGAUCUCAUUUUUUAUUUGUAGCCUUGAGGUUGCUAUCUUAAGGGGGAAAGAUUACGAGAUCUCAAUGAGGAAACCGUCUCAAGAUUUGAAGAACAUGGCGAAGGAUGAAUUCGAGAGCAAUUUCGUGUCGGCUGUGGUCCCUCCAGGAGAGAUUGGUGUCAGAUUCGACGAUGUAGGAGCUCUGGAGGAUGUGAAGAAGGCCUUGAACGAAGUCGUCAUUCUUCCAAUGAGAAGACCGGAACUUUUCACUCAUGGAAAUUUGUUGAAGGUAAUUGAUUAUAUAUUGCACAGAAAGCACGGAAUCUUCUCACUCAAUGCAAAGUAAUCUUCUGACCCAAUGGAUAUUUAAUUAACGAUUUUUGCUUUUUGCAGCCAUGCAAAGGAAUAUUGCUAUUCGGUCCUCCUGGAACUGGGAAGACUCUCCUUGCAAAAGCACUUGCCACUGAAGCAGGUGCAAACUUUAUCAGCAUAACAGGUUCAAAUCUUACAUCUAAGGUAUGCACAAGAAGUUACAUGUAAUUUAAGUAUACUUUACAUAUUGAUUUGUUCUUCAAACGUUAAACACGUGAAUGAUGCUAGCUAAUGUCUGCUGCUGCUAACUCUGUUAUGCAGUGGUUUGGAGAUGCUGAGAAGUUGACAAAGGCCCUUUUCUCCUUUGCCACCAAGCUUUCUCCUGUUAUCAUAUUUAUCGACGAGGUACCUCCCUAAACUCUCUUUUUCACUAGUGCUUUGUCAAUCGACAUGUUCGACUUAACAUGUUGUGGUUGGCGGGGGCGGAAAGAAAAGGUAGAUAGUCUACUAGGGGCUCGAGGGGGUUCUCACGAGCACGAGGCUACGAGAAGAAUGAGAAACGAGUUCAUGGCAGCAUGGGACGGAUUAAGAUCGAAAGACACUCAAAGGAUCGUCAUCCUUGGUGCCACGAAUCGGCCGUUUGAUCUUGAUGAUGCUGUGAUUCGUCGUUUGCCUAGGAGGUAAGGCGCGCUUGGAACACUCUCUUUGUCGUCCGAUGAAUUUUAUAAAUGCCUUGCUGAAAAACAACUGUGCUCCUUGUUUAGAAUAUACGUGGACUUGCCUGAUGCUGCGAAUCGUUUGAAGAUUCUGAAAAUUAUUCUCGGAAAUGAGAACUUACAUUCGGAAUUCCAGUUUGAAGAACUUGCUAAUGUAACCGAUGGAUAUUCUGGCAGCGACUUGAAGGUACAUAGUGAUGGUGAAAUUGCGGAGCUUCGAACGCUAGGUCUGGAUUUGCUCGGAAUGAUUCUGAUGCUUCACUUGUUUUUUUUGUAGAACCUUUGUAUUGCUGCAGCAUAUAGGCCAGUGCAAGAAGUCAUAGAAAAAGAAAACAAGGUACAAAGAUUUUGUCUUGUGAACUGUUACAUGUUUAUUAAAUAUGGUUUCGAUACCCUGGCUUUGGCAUCAUGAACUUUGUCUGAUCUGCCACGAGCCUCUCGUAACACCACACGAAAACCUUGUAGGAAAAGAAGGAUGAUUAUGUUGAAGGUUCGUCGUUAAGACCCCUCACCUUGGAUGACUUCAUCGAGGCAAAGGCUAAGGUAAGACAGAACAUGUAAACCUUAACAUGAACCAAUUUGACAGCAAAGAGAAAGCAGGAAGGAAACUUGAUGUUAGUAGUUACUUGAACCGGUUUCAAUCGUUGUUGGUUUGUGUUUGAAUAGGUUGGUCCAUCGGUUUCGCACGAUGCAGCGAGCAUGAACGAGUUGCGGAAAUGGAACGAACAAUACGGAGAAGGAGGCAGCCGGCAGAAGUCACGCUUUGGUUUUUGAAACUCUAACCAGACAACAUAGUAUGGAUCAAAAUUCUUUUGCAGGGCAGCAGAAAAAUUAUAGGAGGGCGCAUGAAAAUGAGGAAUAUUUAGAAGUGGCCAUCUUCCUUUCUUUGUAACAUAUAGUUCUGCUUCAUCUUUAUUCUAGGUCUCUGAUAAAUUAUAUGUUGGGACAACACAGACAACGUCUUUUUCGUGUCAUGUACAUUGGUUUCGGAUAGUUCGUGUUGUGUUUAGGGUUCGUGUCAUGUACAUUGGUUUCGGAUAUUUCGAUCAUAUAGGGAAGAGGAGGAAGAAGAAGAAUCAUAUGUUGUACGUGGUAGAUUCAACUCGAUUGUAUUUGUUUUUUCGUGUGAAACCCUUCAAGUUUACUACUUUAUGAUGAAGAACAACAUAGGAUUUUGAAGAACAACCAUGGAAAAUUGCACAGCUCGAUGAAAUCUUCUAAUUUGAGUUGGUGGGAGAUUUUCGUAAUUAGUUUCUUUCCUAUCCCGUCUCACAUCUCGACUAAUUUGAAUAUUUCCUCCAUCGGCAGAACUACAACAUGAAGUCGAGAUUUUUAUUUAAUGAUCAAGAAGUCAAUAAUUAAAUAGGACAUCAUUUCGUCAAGUCGAAUAAUUUAAGUUAUUGGAAGUGAGGUUCAUAAUAGGAUAUAUUAUACUAUUCGUAAGGUACCAUUCGUAAGUGAGGAGACAAAUCGACGGAUUCAUUAGACUUUUUCCUAUCGUGUUUAGUCCCGAUUGCAUGUGGAUGAAGUUCAUCGAUUCAUUGGCUAAUUUCCAGUUGUGGAAAAAAAUGCAGCAUUCGUUUUUCCAAUAUACUGUAUAGCUUGUCCAACUAAAUAUAACUCUUGGUAGGAGGUUCGAGCAGGUUUGGAAUUCGGGUGAUAAGGGUUUUAGGAUUUUNNNNNNNNNNNNNNNNNNNNNNNNNNNNNNNNNNNNNNNNNNNNNNNNNNNNNNNNNNNNNNNNNNNNNNNNNNNNNNNNNNNNNNNNNNNNNNNNNNNNNNNNNNNNNNNNNNNNNNNNNNNNNNNNNNNNNNNNNNNNNNNNNNNNNNNNNNNNNNNNNNNNNNNNNNNNNNNNNNNNNNNAAUAUUAAAAUGCUCCGCAGCCAAAAAUCCUGAAAAUCCUAAAACUUUUUUACCUGAAUUUAAAACUGCUCUCUAGAUUGUGGUUGUUCGUCGCUUUCGACAGACCCAUGAUUCUGAUACGCAUGACUUCAUCAUUUGUGGAAUAAUAUCUCUGGCAUUAUGCAUUCACACAAUUUAAAUUAAGGUAACUAAUCUUAAUCUUUGAUUUAGUUGGCCUGGCUGGACGUGGUCUGUCAGCACUUAAUAAUAAUAAUAAUAAUAAUAAUAAGUAUGCCUCCAUAUAUAUGGAAAUUGGUUACUGCAAUGGUGAAAGCUCUUUAAGGUAAGACUGUAAAAAGUAAAUCAUAUUCCUGUUAUUACCAUUACCAGUAAUUAUAUAUAAGUCUUGCUGUCUAAUUAAAUACAAUCACUUGUUUGGUAAAAAACACUUGAAUCACUUGUUUCCCACCCAAAAAUAAUCGGAUUACAAAGUAGAGGCGCAGUUCGAUUUUCGAUAUACAACUCACUCGAUAUGUCGUGAGAAAGUUGGGGACCAGAUUCAUGCAAUGAGGCAGAGAGUGUGAAAACAGUAACAUCGUCCAUAUAUGAUGAUAAAAUAAAAUCGAAUCAAACAUCUCAUCAUUUUAGAAUACUUCACAAUGAGUUUUUCAUGUUCUAAAAGAAUUGUACAAUAUGUUUUUUUGUUGAAACUGUAAACGACAACUUUUUUGAUAUAUCACAAGACUAUCAUUCAACAAUUCGUCUUCUAUUCGAUUGUGAAACUUGUUUUCCACAUGAGUCAUUACAAAAAAUACUCUCUCAACAAUGAAUACCACUUGAGCCCCUUACCUCCGCCUCUACGUAAAAGAUAUUGAGUUUAGUCGUAUUUCUCCAAAAAACAAUCAUUCAACAAAGUAUCUUCUUAGUAUUUAACAAGAAUUACCCUUAGGUGUGUAUAAUUUUCUUUUAUAUAAUUCAGAAAACGGUCUAUAAUGAAUGUUAAACGUGUGACGCCUAAAGUUUCACCAAAACAAAUAAGUAGUAACUGCUCUUUAUGGUAUUAUUUUUCAUUUCAAGUCCGUCUAAUCUUUAAAUUGAACUCAAUAUAAAAAAUGUAUGAUAUUUUUUUGUCAAAAUAAAUCGAAAUUUUCAACAAAUAUAAAAUAAAAAAAAUAAAAAAAAUAUUUUUUCAUAAAAUAUAUUAAAUUCAGACUCAAAACUUCCAAAUUGUCACACAACUCUAGGACACUCAUGAUAACAACUUCACUCGAAUGAAACGUCUCAUAAUCUGACAUAGUUAAGAAUUAUUAGUUGACUACCCGCCCAAUGAAAACGCACGCAUGGCUCAGGUCAAGUGGACUCUACCUUGACCAAUCAAAACCAAAAAAUAUAUUAUAUUAUUUAAUUUAAAUUUCAUGAACUGCGAAUCAUCGGGAUCAGCACUUAUCCGCCGGAAAAAGAACCGGGCCGGGGAGAAUUUAUUUCGACUGACAGAUGGAAUCAGAAUCCAACGGUUGUCGUACUCUGAAGAUGUCAAAUCCAACGGUCGUCGCUAGCUAGCCGCCGGAGUUAUACCGCAGUUAGAGUUCAUUACGAAAAUAAACAGUACUACGAAUCUACGAUUACGAAUCAUCUCCGGAUUCUCUUAGAUUCUAUAAAUAUAAAUUCAAACAAGCUCCCAUUCUCACAAAUCUCUUACAAAUUCAAAAACCGCAAUUGUGAAAAACAACAUGACCGGUGGUAGUGGUGACGGAGGCACCGCCGUGCAGAGGCGGAACCGUUACGCCGACGAGAGCGGUCUGAACGCCGACGAAAUCAUCUCCGACGAGGCUGCAGCAGGGGAGGAGAAGAUCUCGGUGGAGGAGGCGUUUAAAGACGAGGAGGUGCCGUCGUGGAGGCAGCAGUUGACUGUUAGGGCGCUGUUCACCAGCCUUGUGCUGAGCGUGGUGUUUAACUUCAUCGUCUGCAAGCUGAAUCUCACCACCGGCGUUAUCCCUUCCCUGAACGUUGCCGCCGGCCUGUUAGGUUUCGCGAUCGUGAAAACCUACACCAGCUUGUUGUCUAAAGCUGGACUCCUCAAGCAGCCUUUCUCCCGUCAGGAGAACACCGUCAUCCAGACUUGCAUCGUUGCUUCCUCCGGCAUCGCCUUCAGCAGUACGUAUUGAUUGAGUGAUUCACAAUGCCACAUUCAAUUAGCUUAUUUUGAUUUUGAAUCCCAUUUUGUGCUGAGACCUAAUUUCAAUUUUUUUUCAGGCGGAACCGCGAGUUACAUGCUGGGGAUGAGUCCGUACAUAGCAGGGCAAGAGGAGAUCGGGAACAUCGCGUCGAACGUCAAGGUUCUGCAUAUCGGGUGGAUGAUUGGAUUCCUGUUUGCAGUCAGCUUCGUCGGACUGUUCUCAAUCGUGCCGUUGAGGAAACAGAUGAUUCUCAACUACAAGCUGAGUUACCCUAGCGGAACCGCCACUGCUUACCUGAUCAACAGCUUCCACACCCCGACAGGAGCGGCUCUAGCCAAGAAGCAAGUCGCCGUGCUCUUCAAAGCCUUCGGCGGCAGCUUCAUCUGGGCGUUUUUCCAGUGGUUCUUCGCCGCGGGCGAUGACUGUGGCUUCGUUAACUUCCCUACUUUCGGCCUCCAAGCCUUCAAACAAAAGUAAUUAUAAUUCAAUCUUCCUCUAAUCAUAUGACAUAUAUCCUUCCUCUGUUUAUAAAUUAAUUUCGUAUCAACUUGCAGGUUCUUCUUUGAUUUCUCGUCAACUUACGUUGGUGUGGGGAUGAUCUGUCCGUACAUGGUCAAUAUCUCCUUGCUGUUCGGAGCAGUGAUUUCUUGGGGGAUAAUGUGGCCCUUGAUCUCUGCCAAGAAAGGCGACUGGUACAGCGCCGAUCUCAGCCCCAGCAGCCUCCAUGGCAUCCAAGGUUACAGGGUAAGGAACCAUUGAAUACUUGUUUGAAUAGCAUUGCGAUUAACAAUACUCUGCUUUUACUCUGCUUAAUUCCAUGGAAAUUCAAAUUGUUUCUGCAGGUAUUUACAGCGAUCGCGAUUAUGCUGGGAGACGGACUGUUCCAAGUGAUCUUCCUGAUCGUCAAAUCAGCAUACUUUUACAUCAAGAACAACGGCAGCUCCAAAAAGGAUACAUCUUUAGUGGAAGGCACAGAUUCAUCGAGCUACGACGACAAACGCCGAAUCGAAUACUUCCUCCGCGAUCAGAUUCCGAAUUGGCUAGCGAUCGCCGGCUACGUAUCACUAGCCCUAAUCUCAAUCUUCACCGUCCCUGUAAUCUUCCCGCCGCUCAGACCUUACCACAUCCUCGUAGCAUACCUAAUCGCUCCGAUCCUUGCCUUCUGCAACGCGUACGGAUGCGGCCUCACCGACUGGUCUCUAGCGUCCAACUACGGCAAAUUCGCGAUCAUCAUCUUCAGCGCGUGGGUGGGACUCAACAACGGCGGCGUGGUCGCCGGACUCGCGUCGUGCGGUGUCAUGAUGUCGAUCGUCUCCACGGCCUCCGAUCUGAUGCAGGACUUCAAAACAGGGUACCUCACACUCUCUUCCCCACGCGCCAUGUUCUUCUCGCAGAUCUUCGGUACUGCGAUCGGCUGCCUCAUCACCCCUCCGGUGUUCUGGUUCUUCUACAAGGCGUACCCGAUCGGAAACCCGGACGGACCUUACCCUGCCCCGUACGGCCUGCUGUACCGCGGAAUAGCGCUUUUGGGAGUGGAAGGUGUCUCUUCUCUGCCGCGUAACUGUCUUGCCAUGGCGAUUGGGUUCUUCUUUAUGGCGAUGGCGAUCAAUUUGGUUAAGGAGGUGUUGAAAUCGUAUGGAUAUAGAGUUCAUAAGUAUAUUCCGAGCCCGAUGUGUAUGGCGAUUCCGUUCUACCUGGGGGCUUACUUCGCCAUUGAUAUGUGCUUGGGGAGCUUGAUUCUGUUUGUUUGGACUUGGUAUAAUAGGCGGCAGGCAAUGGAUUACUGUCCCGCGGUGGCGUCCGGGAUGAUCUGUGGUGAUUCUUUGUGGGGCAUUCCGGCGGCGAUUCUGUCCAUGGCGGGUAUUAGUGCUCCGAUCUGCAUGAAGUUUUUGUCCGCCGCUGCUAACAAUAAGGUGGACGCCUAUUUGGCUGGUUGAUUGUUUUUAUUUUAUUUUUAUUAGGGAUUUGUUAAUUUGUUGGUUAAAUUUUAAUUUAAAAUUAAAGGGACAGCCUCGGUCAACAUAUGCCACCAUACGAUACGUAUAUCAGUUUUUUGUUUUCGUAAAUUUAUCGCGUUUCGAAUUUGGUUUGGAGAAAAAGAAAAGUUUUGCAUCGAGAGUUUUUUUUGUCAUUUUGUGGGUUUUCAAUUGAAGUUAAAAGUCAAUUUUAUUUGGUGUUAUGUUAGUAUUUGAAAAUUUUCAAACCAGCGCCAGAUUGUCCAGCGACCAGAUCGGGCCGAAUGAUCUAGAUGAAGUAGAACCCUGCUUUGAUAAAUCCCUCGAAAAACUCGAUUAGGUCUCGUUUGAACAUGGUUCUAACCGGUUCCAUCAUGCAUGUAUGUAGUAAUUAAAUUAAUUUCAAAAACUUCAACACUUGUAAAGGGUNNNNNNNNNNNNNNNNNNNNNNNNNNNNNNNNNNNNNNNNNNNNNNNNNNNNNNNNNNNNNNNNNNNNNNNNNNNNNNNNNNNNNNNNNNNNNNNNNNNNNNNNNNNNNNNNNNNNNNNNNNNNNNNNNNNNNNNNNNNNNNNNNNNNNNNNNNNNNNNNNNNNNNNNNNNNNNNNNNNNNNNNNNNNNNNNNNNNNNNNNNNNNNNNNNNNNNNNNNNNNNNNNNNNNNNUUUCUAUCCAUAUAUUAUGAUCCAUCUGAUUCGAAGAAACCAAAGAGAUAUUUCCAAUUAAAGUUAACGUGCUAAAUACUAAAAUAUUUUAUCCUUAUUUAGGAUUAUUUUGUUAAGCUAAAAAUUUAUUUAUUUUACUAUUUAGGAUUAGAAUUAGUUUUUCUAUUAUUUCAUUUGGGGUUAUAAAUUUCAAACCCAAAAUAAAGGCUUGGUUAGUAUUGUGUUAGACAGACUAUUGAUGAUGAAUAAAAACGUUGAGUUUUGUGUGUUGAGUUUCAUACUCGUUUCAUUCUCUUGAGUGCAUGGUGAUUCGUAUAUUUGGAUGAUCGUUGAUUGGUUUAAGUGCGUGUCGAAUCAUGUAAGCGAAUAUGGUCACCUUAUUUCAAAGAAAAUGGCAAGUCAAAUAUAACCCCGUCCAACUCCCUCCUUCUUAACUCAAACAAUACUAAUUCACUUUAUCAAACAAAAAAAAAAAAAAANNNNNNNNNNNNNNNNNNNNNNNNNNNNNNNNAGAAAUAUGAACACACGUGCAAACAAAUAGACUUUUAAGUUGGACCUUAAAAAAUUUAACUUGGAUUUCUAACAGAUUCCAUCAUGCAUGCAUGUAGUAAUUAAACUAAUUACAAAAACUUCAACACUAGUAAAGUGGUAAAAAAUAUUUUUUUUAACUUCAUUUGAAGGACAUAAUAUAAUAAAACCUCAAUUUUUAGUUAUACCCGAUAUGCAAGUCAAAUAUCAGCCAAUUUGAAAAUUAUCAAUUUUCGUGUGAAAAUGGUCCAUUUUCGAAGGGGUUAACCUAUGAAAAUGGAACAUUUUUACAUGAAAUUUUCAACAUUUUAGAAUUGGCUAAUAUUUAAGAUGCAUGUUGAAAACGGUCAAAAUUUUAGAAUCGGCUAAUAUUUGACAUGCAUGUGGAAAAUGGCUAAAAAAUUAAGUUUCACUGUGGUAACCCAUAUAAAUAAUGAUCAAAUGAAGUUCAAAAUCAAUUUUACAUAUGUUAGUGAUAGAAAUCCACGUAGAUUAUUCCCAAUUUAGUAUUUUAGUCAUUACUCUCUCUUCAUGACUCCUAUUGAUGCAAGGUCAGCGAUGUUGAAAACAUAAUUCAAUUGUUUUUCUAUCCAUAUAUUAUGAUCCAUCUGAUUCGAAGAAACCAAAGAGAUAUUUCCAAUUAAAGUUAACGUGCUAAAUACUAAAAUAUUUUAUCCUUAUUUAGGAUUAUUUUGUUAAGCUAAAAAUUUAUUUAUUUUACUAUUUAGGAUUAGAAUUAGUUUUUCUAUUAUUUCAUUUGGGGUUAUAAAUUUCAAACCCAAAAUAAAGGCUUGGUUAGUAUUGUGCUAGAGAGACUAUUGAUGAUGAAUAAAAACGUUGAGUUUUAUACUCGUUUCAUUCUCUUGAGUGCAUGGUGAUUCCUAUAUUUGGAUGACCGAUGAAUUGUUUAAGUGUGUGCCGAAUCAUGAAAGCGAAUAUGCUCACCUUAUUUCAAAGAAAAUGGCAAGUCAAAUAUAACCCCGUCCAACUCCCUCCUUCUUAACUCAAACAAUACUAAUUCACUUUAUCAAACAUAUUCCAUCCACCCAAAAAAACUAAGAUGAUGAGAGAAAUAUGAACACACAUGCCAACCAAUAGACUUUUAAGUUGGACCCUAAAAAAUUUACUUUGGAUUUCUAGCCGUUUCCAUCAUGCAUGCAUAGAGUAAUUAAGCUAAUUCAAAAAAUUUCAACACUAGUAAAGCGUUAAAAAAUCUUUUUUUAACUUCAUUUGAAGGAAAUAAUGUAAUGAAAACUCAAUUUUUAGUUAUUCUCGAUAUGCAUGUCAAAUAUCAGCCAAUUUGAAAACUAUCAAUUUUCAUGUGAAAAUGGUCCAUUUCCGAAGGGGUUAACUUAUGAAAAUGGACCAUUUUUACCUGAAAUUUUCAAAAUUUUAGAAUCGGCUAAUAUUUGACAUGCAUGUUGAAAAUGGCUAAAAAAUUAAGUUUCACUGUGGUAACCCAUAUAAAUAAUGAUCAAAUGAAGUUCAAAAUCAAGUUUACAUAUGUUAGUGAUAGAAAUCCACGUAGAUUAUGCCCAAUUCAGUAUUUUAGUCAUUACUCUCUCUUCAUGAAUCCAAUCAUUACCCUCUCUUCAUGACUCCUAUUGGUGCAAGGUCAGCGAUGUUGGAAACAUAAUUCAAUUGUCUUUCUAUCCAUAAAUUAUGAUCCAUCUGAUUCGAAGAAACCAGAGAACUAUUCCCAAUGAAAGUUAACGUGCUAAAUACUAAAAUAUGUGUAGUAGUUUUCCUUAUUUAGGAUUAUUUUGUUAAACUAAAAAUUUAUUUAUUUUUCUAUUUAGGAUUAGAAUUAGUUUUUUAUUAUUUCAUUUGGGGUUAUAAAUUUCAAACCCAAAAUAAAGGCUUGGUUAGUAUUGUGUUAGAGAGACUAUUGAUGAUGAAUAAAAACGUUGAGUUUUGUGUGUUGAGUUUUAUACUCAUUUGAUUCGUUUGAGUGCGUGGUGAUUCAUACUUGGGUGGUCGUUGGUUCGUUUAAGUGUGUGUUGAAUCAUGCAAGCAAAAUCAAAUAUGCUCACCUUAUUUCAAAGAAAAUGGCAAAUCAAAAAAUAUCCCCAUUCCAACUCCCUCCUUCUUAAAUCAAACAAUACUAAUUUUCUUAAUCAAACAUAUCCCUUCNNNNNNNNNNNNNNNNNNNNNNNNNNNNNNNNNNNNNNNNNNNNNNNNNNNNNNNNNNNNNNNNNNNNNNNNNNNNNNNNNNNNNNNNNNNNNNNNNNNNNNNNNNNNNNNNNNNNNNNNNNNNNNNNNNNNNNNNNNNNNNNNNNNNNNNNNNNNNNNNNNNNNNNNNNNNNNNNNNNNNNNNNNNNNNNNNNNNNNNNNNNNNNNNNNNNNNAAUUGGCUAAAAAAUUAAGUUUCACUGUGGUAACCCAUAUAAAUAAUGAUCAAAUGAAGUUCAAAAUCAAGUUUACAUAUGUUAGUGAUAGAAAUCCACGUAGAUUAUGCCCAAUUCAGUAUUUUAGUCAUUACUCUCUCUUCAUGACUCCUAUUGGUGCAAGGUCAGUGAUGUUGGAAAUAUAAUUCAAUUGUCUUUCUAUCCAUAUAUUAUGAUCCAUCUGAUUCGAAGAAACCAAAGAGAUAUUCCAAAUUAAAGUUAACGUGCUAUAUACUAAAAUAUUCGUAGUGGUUAUCCUUAUUUAGGAUUAUUUUGUUAAGCUAAAAAUUUAUUUAUUUUACUAUUUAGGAUUAGAAUUAGUUUUUCUAUUAUUUCAUUUGGGGUUAUAAAUUUCAAACCCAAAAUAAAGGCUUGGUUAGUAUUGUGCUAGAGAGACUAUUGAUGAUGAAUAAAAACGUUGAGUUUUAUACUUGUUUCAUUCUCUUGAGUGCAUACUCGUUUCAUUCUCUUAAGUGCAUGGUGAUUCGUAUAUUUGGCUGACCGUUGAUUCCUUUAAGUGCGUGACAAAUCAUGCAAGCGAAUAUGCUCACCUUAUUUCAAUGAAAAUGGCAAGACAAAUAUUACCCCGUCCAACUCCCUCCUUCUUAAAUCAAACAGUACUGAUUCACUUUAUCAAACAUAUCCCAUCUAGCCACACAACUAAGAUGAUGAGAGAAAUAUGAGGCUAAUAUUUGAUAUACAUAUUGGACAUGGCUAAAGAUCAAGUGUGAGGAUGGUAACCUCUGUAAACAAUGGCCAAACAAAGUUAAAAAUCAAAUUACUUAGUGUUAUUUUAGCAUGAUGAAAAAUAUUGUUUAACUUAAUUUGGCUUUUAUUUGAAGUGCUUACGAUGGUGAAACAUCAAAUUUUAGGCAUUCCCAAUAUGCAUGUCAAAUUUUAGCCAAUUUGAAAAUUUUCAAUUUUCACGUGAAAAUGGUCCAUUUCAAAAGGGGUUAACCUAUGAAAAUUGACCAUUUUCACAUGAAAUUUUUAAAUCGGAUAAUAUUUGACAUGCCUGUUGAGAAUGACUAAAAAAUCAAGUUUCACUAUGAUAAUCCCUAUAAAUAAUGAUCAAAUAAAGUUUAAAAUUAAUUUUACUUAGGUUAGUGAUAGAAAUCCACGUAAAAUAACAAGAGAAACAAUACUUCGUCCAACUACCUGCUUCUUAAAUCAAAUAAUGAUUCACUUAGAUCAUUUUUACAAUAAAAUAAAUGGGCCGAUACGUUUAAUUGGCUACGCGGUAAAGCACGGACAAGCAACCUAACUAGUAUAUAUUAAAUCAAAGAUGAGCGGGAGUGAGAGAUGGAGGAAAAAGGAAUCGUGAAGCGGAAAACGCGGAUCCCCUGUACGGUAAAGAUAAUAGACAAACACCUCGAUUGUGGUUUUCUUUUUUGUUGCAUCGAUAACCAACGGACGACCAUGCAAAGCAGAUUAUAUAAGCUAGCAGGGAGACGCAGACUGGAGAUCGAUAGAGAGGCCUGGUCUGGAGACAGACUGCGUAUCUGUGUUCUGUAACGGCAGCAGCAACUUGAGUACAUACGUUACGGUCAAAGAAACUCGGCGGAUCACCGGCGGGUCUCUUACUCAAACAAACCACCGCACUCUUUGACUGCCACGUAAACCAAUCACUGUAUAGUUUUCUUUUCCAUCAGCACUCAGCAGCAUGCAAUACAUGCAGUACUGCAGCUAGCAUUAUUCAGGCUUCAGAAGUACGGUAUGGGUUGGAAAGCAUGCCCAUUCCCCGCGUAAUUCCUGCUGACUUUGCCCCCCAUGCAUGCAUUUCUUUGUUUCAGCUCCCGGCAGCUGUAUGUAUAAGAUACUAAUAAGUUCUGUAUAUAUAGACCCUAACAAAACCCAUUCAGUACUGUUCUGCAUGCCUAACAAAGAAGAAGAAGAUCAUCGUCGUAAUUAAUUAGCCACAUUUCAUGCUUUUCCACGACUUUCUUGAACUAUUCCUUCUAAGUCAGGAAAAGCUCAAGAAAGCCGUGGAAAACUAUGAACUGCUUGCUCUCUUCAGUUUCCUGCAUAUUCACUUUGCCUCUCGAUUUGGCCCCUCGUUGGUACGUAAUUCUCCUUACGUAUGUUGUGUUUUGAUAAUUCGAAUUAUUUGACUUGGGAGAGGAUCUACGUUUUAUAUUAUAUAGCCUUGCUACACCAAAUCAUUUGUCCCCCCGCAACGUUUUCUUCUCCGUUGUUGAGACAUGCCUCCUCUUUAACCUCAUCAGUCACUACAUAUCGUGCCGUACUUUACCUCAAGAUCUCUGUCGCCGGAUCUUUUCCUCUCGAAAUUCGUAUCUCACAGAGAUCUUCAUGACUAAUGCUCGUAUAUAUAUACUAUAACAGCUCCUCUAAGGGGAAUGUUUUUAUGUGGUGCUAACGAUUCAAUAACUAUCUUUUUAACUCUAGAAUGCUUUAGUUUAUGCUCCUACCUAUUAUAUGAAUAUACAGGUGGAUUUGAGUCAUCGCAAAUUAUGGUUUUCGGUUAGCCAUUAACUGCAUUGUGGUUAGUGGUUCGGUUUGUAGUAGGAAAAUAAUGCAAUUUUAAUCGCAUACCAUAUGGUUAAUCACAGAAAAAUCGAAUAAACCACAUUUUAAAAUAUCUAGCUAAUUUUAAAAUAUUAAAUGUGAACUGGUAAUAUACUUGUUUGGUUUCAUAAUUCCAUUUCUCACGCCUUUUCAAUUUUCAUUUUAGUCUUAAAGAAGUGGUUUUGUAGUUAACCACUAACCAAACUGAAAAUUAUAAUUUAAUUAGUGUUUAACCACAAACAGAAAGGUAUGGUUUNNNNNNNNNNNNNNNNNNNNNNNNNNNNACAGAAAGGUAUGGUUUUUGAUAAAAAAAAUUUCAUUUAUGAUGUGAUUAACCGCAUAAAUCAGUUUGGUUAAUCACAAACCGAAUCAUUUUCAUCGACAAAAAAAUAUAUACGGUCUAAUGAUGAGGCUAUUAUAAAAUAUGUACUCAUGGGUGGGGCAAGCUUUUUCAUUAUGGUUUAUGGUAUCUCUUCGCUCUAUGAUAGGUUCGGGGAGAGAUCGAGUUUUCAAAAAUAACGAAUGGUCUUAUCAAUACACAAAUAUAUAACUUUCCAAAAAUUUCAAUUGCGCUUCUCAUCAAUGGAGUCCUUAUGUAUAUAACGGAGUAGUACAAGUUUGAGCUAAGAUCCGUGGAUAUGUAUGCCCAUGUCAAGUUAUUGAUUGUAACGUUUUAUUUCACCAAUUUUUUAAAUGUUUUUAUAGAAAUUUAACCCCGAACGAUCUAUUUAUUUAAAUUUUUUAAUGAACCGGUUUGAUCAAGCCAUAUUUUUUAUUUUGCAUUUAGAUGGGCCGACAAUUUCGGCCUACGAUAUAACAGGCCUGCCUAUACUUGGGCUCCAAUCAACAGGUUCGUCGCACGUGUGCCAAUCCCCACACGUAUGACACACUAUUAGUAGAGCUGAAUUAAAUCCCCACUUUCGGAUUUCUAAUCGAAUCAGCUGAAGCCUAAAACCCGAGUUCUUCAGCCACCGUACGAAGAAAACCUUUUUUCCCUCCAAAAUCAAUGGCGGCGAGCGUGGUUCCACCGGGGCGAGGAGCCCGCAGGUCGACGGCUGACGACGAGAAGCUCGUCUUCGAGACGACGGAAGGGAUCGAGCCGGUGUCCAGUUUCGAGAACAUGGGAAUCAAUGACAAGCUGCUCCGAGGAAUCUACGAGUACGGCUUCGAGAAGCCUUCUGCCAUCCAGCAGCGAGCCGUUAUGCCGAUAAUUAAGGGCCGGGACGUCAUUGCCCAGGCGCAAUCCGGUACCGGAAAGACCUCCAUGAUUGCCCUCUCUGUUUGCCAGGUCGUCGACAUUAACAGCAAAGAGUAACCUGCCUGGAAACCCUAAUUUUGAUGUCUUUUCUUAGUCGCAAUGGGUUAAUCGUUUUCGUCGUUAUUCUUUCUCGUAGGGUGUUUCUGUUGCUGAAAAACCCUAAUUUCCAAGUUCCUUUAAUUGGAAACCUUAGUGAUUUACUUGUUAUGUAUGUUUAAUUUGUUAUUACUUUAAAAUUGAGUUCGACUCGGCUUGAAAAUCUUCUCAAGAAGGAGGCAGACACUGGUAUAGGCUCAUAGUACUGAAGAGGUUCCUAUAUGCAUUUGCAUCAUUGCUUGUUUGUUCAUCCAGUGCUAUUUAUGAUGAAAAAAGUACUACUUUUUAAUCGUUCGAUAGAUUCUUCGUGAAAGGGUUGUGAGAAUACAUUUCUUGACUUUUGGGCUGUGUUUCUUUUCAGUCUUGUCCUUUUGGAAGGCUCAUUUUGGUGUAUUCCUAACUUGAUUCACCGUUAUGUUGGAUUAAUCUUCCAGGGUCCAGGCAUUGAUAUUGUCUCCAACAAGGGAACUGGCUGCACAAACAGAGAAGGUUAUACUGGCAAUCGGUGACCACUUGAACAUUCAAGCGCAUGCAUGCAUUGGUGGAAAAAGUGUGGGUGAAGAUAUAAGGAAGCUAGAGUAUGGAGUUCAUGUGGUAUCAGGAACACCAGGCAGAGUAUGUGACAUGAUCAAGAGGAGGACUUUGAGAACUAGAGCCAUAAAGCUACUAAUUCUUGAUGAAUCUGAUGAGAUGUUGAGCAGAGGUUUCAAAGAUCAAAUAUAUGAUGUCUACAGAUAUCUUCCCCCAGAGCUUCAGGUUCUUUCUUGAUCUUACCUACACACAGAUGUGCCACCUAUGCAUUAUGAGUCUAGCUAUAAUUUACCUACUUGUGCUUCAGUUUUCUAUCGACUAUGUAACUUGAACAUAAUGAGUAGCAAUUGUUUGAAGUCAAAUGGCUAUCUAUUGCUUAGAAGUACCCUUCACGAUUUCCUUGUGAUACUUCCUUGCAGUUCUUGUUCCUAGACUAGUCAAAUACCUGUUUUCUAAGAUCUUUUAUCUAAUUUUCAGGUUGUGUUGAUCUCUGCCACAUUGCCAAACGAAAUUUUGGAGAUUACAAGCAAGUUCAUGACAGACCCAGUGAAGAUCCUAGUCAAACGUGAUGAACUGACUUUGGAGGUAAGUAAUAGCAUUAAUGGUGUAACAGUACUUUUAAAUUGGUCAUUGAAUUGUGUUAAGAAAUUUUCUUGUCAUUCUGUGAUGACAGGGCAUCAAACAGUUUUUUGUUGCUGUGGAAAAGGAAGACUGGAAAUUCGAUACUCUUUGCGACCUUUAUGAUACACUUACCGUCACUCAAGCUGUUAUAUUCUGCAAUACAAAACGGAAGGUAUUCACUUCAAUGCCAAGUUGGUUGUAGGGGAUAGUCUACUUGAAUGAAUCUUUUUUGUGGCAUAAAUCUUGUUGGUUGUACAUGGAAAUGAUUGUGCUCUCUGGAACAGGUUGAUUGGUUAACUGAGAAGAUGCGGUCCAGCAACUUCACAGUCUCAGCAAUGCAUGGUGACAUGCCUCAGAAGGAAAGAGACGCAAUUAUGAAAGAGUUCAGGGAUGGUACUACACGUGUUCUGAUCACUACAGAUGUUUGGGCUCGCGGGCUAGACGUUCAGCAGGCAAGUUGUUUCUCUGUUUUUUUUCAAUUCAUAAAGUAGUUUCUUGUUUAGCUGAGCUUCCUUUAUUCGCUGCAUUUCUUUGUCAGUGCGUUUCUGAUCUCAUGUGAUGUUUUUGACACUACAGGUGUCUCUUGUUAUAAACUAUGACCUUCCAAACAACCGUGAGCUGUACAUUCAUCGAAUUGGUCGAUCAGGACGUUUUGGCCGCAAGGUAAGUGAUACAAUGCUGAAGAUCAGUGUUCUUCUUUCAGCGAUGUGGCCAUCAGUUUCUUUAUUGAUGAUAUGAUGAUGGUGAUGCAGGGUGUGGCCAUCAAUUUCGUGAAAUCUGAUGACAUCAGGAUUCUGCGAGACAUUGAGCAGUACUACAGUACUCAGAUUGAUGAAAUGCCAAUGAAUGUUGCUGACCUGAUAUAGACUUGGUUUCGCAAGCCUGUUCGAGAUUUGGUGCAAAUCAGGAAGGGUGCUGGUGCUGGAGUUGCUGACUCUCUUGUGUUUCCUGAAAGAUGCAUGUAAAAGAUUGUGAGCUUUGAGUUUGUGUGAGUUAUGGUGGUGGCUGAACGUGUUCAUCUGGGGUUUAGUGUUUUUUCCUCCAACCAAACUGUAUGGAAUCGGAAUGCUCUCAGUGUCAACUCUGUUCUUCUUAUUUUUUUUGUAACAACUUUCAUGUUCGUUUAUAUUUAUGAGGUGCUUUUUUGUGUUCUUCUUCCUGUCAGGAACGCCAGUUUAUUUUUAUUACUAUAAAGACCAGUUUCUUCUGUUUCGUCCUGCUUUGUUAAAACCUGAGACUUGGGGGACCUUGUUGGCAAAAUUCAACAACUAAAUUUCUGAAAGCGUCCACCGGACUAUUCAGUUGCUUGUUAAUCUCCCCAAGGGAGAAUGAAAUGUUGAAAUGGCAUUGAGCUGAUUUUUUGCACACUCAAGGGGAAUACAGUAUAUAUACAGUACGGUAGUAAUACAUUUGAAGCCAUUUUCGUAUAGCAUAACAGAACGUCUAAAAGUUUAGUACAAAUCAUGUACUAAACAUAUUGGGGAAGAGAGUUUUAAACAUAUUUGAUACGUAUAUACCAUUUUUAUUACCGUAUUUACUUAACUAGCAUUGCCAAAUUCAUCAGAUAUAUAUCCAAAUUUUAUUCCGAAAUAAUGAAUUCUCCUACCUAGUGGUUACAAGCUGAACUAAACCGAGGGAAUCCGGUUUUAAACACAUCUCGGGCAAUAACUCGAUUAGCCGAGUCAGUAUAGUGAUGAUUGUCCCACUUAAUAUACACCGUCAAAUGUCCACAAAACACGAAAAUAUCUCGAAUACCAUGAUAUUGGAUGAUAUCAUAGUUGAUUAUAGAACAAAAAAAAUGAUGUGAUAGCAAUGGCGGAAUCAGAGGUGAGCAAAUUUAGGCCAUCACUCAAGAUCCCCCGAUAUAAAAGUGUGACCAAUAUGUUUUCGAGUUCCGCCAAUGUACUUUCAAACUCACUACAAACUAAUAUUCCUGGCCAGUAUCUCCGGCCAUUCUGGUUCUAUUAUUCGCUAGUAUGUUAAAAACACAGGCUUUUGCUUAUUGUUAAACAAUCCAGCGUUAGUUUUGUUUAGUACUAAAAAUACACAGAUACUUUCCCGACAACAACUAACUAACUAACAGAGACCAAAUCUUUGGGAAACCAACAAAUGGAAUAAAUAAAACAGAAAAAACGGCCGGCGGCNNNN